AUUGGCGAAGCCGGUUGAUUAUGACCAAUCACCGAGCUCGUCACAUCUUCCGCAUUCGGGUGACCUUCCUCCAUUUUUCUGUGUCCGAAAUCGCCGGUGUUCGUCAACUUCAGGUCGUUUUACGGGCGAUUUUAAACCAGGUCAGUGAAUAAGAUGGCAGGAGCCGGGGGUCCAGAGCCAGUGUUUACUGGCAUGAAGCACUACUUCAACUCCUACACUAUAUUUGGCAGGAGAAAUUUUGUGUUAGCGACAUACGGCACCAUUUUUGGUCUGAUCCUGAUCAGCAAGCUGCGCAAACCCAAGCAGAAGGCAGUGUCCAACUAAGGAGAUGUAAUAGAAGAUCCAGAUGUAGCCAUCUUAUUCCACAAGAGACCAUACUGCUGCUUUGAAGUGUCAUCUAACCAAGAAGAAGCUUUCCCAAGUUGACACCAUCAGUAGCCAUGUAAAUGUGCUUCAGCAGAUGUGAUUGAUUCAUUUUCCAUUGACAGUGUGAAAUGUACUUGAAGUCUUCAUUCAUUAAAGGAAUGUAAACCGUG